GCAGAGGGAAUCUCAUCAGUGGGGCUAGGAACUGAGUGCGUUGCGUCACUCUACCCCAUGUCCCUUGGGAAGGUCUGAGACUAGGGCCAAAUAGCGGCCCUAACAGGACCCUCCCUGAACCUCAGGGAGGUGAGUUCCCAGAGAACGGGGCUCCGCGUGAGGGCAGACUGGGCACAAAUCACGAGCCACUGAAGCAGGAACAAACUUUAUUUCUGAACUCCACCAGC
ensembl:ribozyme RNaseP_nuc Nuclear RNase P